UGGGGAAUCUUAGACAAUGGGGGCAACCCUGAUCUAGCCAUGCCGCGUGAGUGAUGAAGGCCUUAGGGUCGUAAAGCUCUUUCGCCUGUGAUGAUAAUGACAGUAGCAGGUAAAGAAACCCCGGCUAACUCCGUGCCAGCAGCCGCGGUAAUACGGAGGGGGUUAGCGUUGUUCGGAAUUACUGGGCGUAAAGCGCGCGUAGGCGGAUUAGAAAGUUGGGGGUGAAAUCCCGGGGCUCAACCCCGGAACUGCCUCCAAAACUGCUAGUCUAGAGUUCGAGAGAGGUGAGUGGAAUUCCGAGUGUAGAGGUGAAAUUCGUAGAUAUUCGGAGGAACACCAGUGGCGAAGGCGGCUCACUGGCUCGAUACUGACGCUGAGGUGCGAAAGUGUGGGGAGCAAACAGGAUUAGAUACCCUGGUAGUCCACACCGUAAACGAUGAAUGCCAGUCGUCGGAUAGUAUACUAUUCGGUGACACACCUAACGGAUUAAGCAUUCCGCCUGGGGAGUACGGUCGCAAGAUUA
rnacentral:rRNA from 1 species